rnacentral:rRNA from 1 species
CAAGAACGGCUCAUUAAAUCAGUUGCGAUCUACUCGGCGUUCCGCGCCGCCGGAUAACCGUAGUAAUUCUAGGGCUAAUACGUGCGAAGCGCCCGAAGCCGCGAGGCGACGGGCGUUCUCGCCGGAUGUAGGAACCGACCCGGGGACCGCCGGGGCAACCCGGCGCCCCCGAGACGGGGCGAACCACGGUGAAAUGACGGAUCGUCGGCCCCGCGCCGGCGACUCGCCGAAUGAGUUUCUGACCUAUCAACUCGAGACGGCGGGGUAGAGGCCCGCCGCGGUAACGACGGGUAACGGGGAAUCAGGGUUCGAUUCCGGAGAGGGAGCCCGAGAAACGGCUACCACUUCCAAGGAAGGCAGCAGGCGCGCAACUUACCCUAAUCUCGAUUCGAGGAGGUAGUGACAAGAAAUACCGAUGCGGGACCCUACGGGUGCCGCGUUCGGAAUGAGUACGAUUUCGAACCACCUAACGAGGAACGAUCGGAGGGCAAGUCUGUUGCCAGCAGCCGCGGUAAUUCCAGCUCCAAUAGCGUACGUUAAAGUUGCUGCAGUUAAAAGCUCGUAGUUGAACGUUCGGGUUACC